rnacentral:rRNA from 1 species
UACGUAGGGUGCAAGCGUUAAUCGGAAUUACUGGGCGUAAAGCGUGCGCAGGCGGCUAUGCAAGACAGAUGUGAAAUCCCCGGGCUCAACUUGGGAACUGCAUUUGUGACUGCAUGGCUAGAGUACGGUAGAGGGGGAUGGAAUUCCGCGUGUAGCAGUGAAAUGCGUAGAUAUGCGGAGGAACACCGAUGGCGAAGGCAAUCCCCUGGACCUGUACUGACGCUCAUGCACGAAAGCGUGGGGAGCAAACAGG